CGAUCGAGGAGAUCGUGAACGAGCACAACGUGUUCCGCGCCAAGGAGCACGUGCCUCCGCUGGUGUGGAACGCGACGCUGGCCAGGUUCUCGCAGCAGUACGCGGAGACGCUCAAGGGCAACUGCCAGCAGAUCCACUCGUCGUCGCCGUACGGGGAGAACCUGAUGGAGGGCACCCCGGGGCUGACCUGGAAGAUCACCGUGGACGGCUGGAGCGAGGAGAAGAAGAACUACCACUACAACUCAGACACCUGCGACCCCGGCAAGAUGUGCGGCCACUACAAGGCCGUCGUCUGGAAGACCACCACCAGCGUCGGCUGCGGACGCAUCAAGUGCAACAGCGGCGACACCAUCAUCAUGUGCAGCUACUGGCCGCCGGGGAACUACGACGGCGUUAAGCCAUACUAAAAUAUAUAUCGACCCAUUGCAUAUAUAUGUUGCAGAGCUUUUUAUUUUGGCAACAUAUCUAGUGCACAUGAUCUGCUGGUACACAUCAUACACAUAUUUCGUAUGAUUGGAUGUAUGCGCGAGCGCAUGCAGGCUCGCCUAAUCCUGUCCCGCGGGAUACGGCCGAUUCCCCGCGCCCUGGGCAUGCAAGUGAACGAGCCCUUUUUAGAUCUGACCUGCACCGACGCAUACCGGCUCGGAUAGUGCUGUGCAGGUAAACAAUCAAACACGCAACUACAGUCAGCAGCUACGGUCAACGCAUCCCACGGGCCUGGACACAGCCGGCCAGGAAACCAAUCAUACGGAUUAAAUCCUGUCCUUUCAUUUAAGAUCCAGUGUCUUACAAUUAUCUCAUCUCUCUCCUGCCUUUUUGCUAAAAUGGCCUCCCAUCUCUCUCACUUCCUGCCAUGUCGUUUUUUAGAAACCCGCCCGGCGGACUGUUUAUGUCCUUGAUUAGAGCGGUGGGAAGAUAAACAGUCCGCUAGAUUUUUUUGCGUGCUAGAUUUUUUUCUUCCUCCGGUCAAUCAAAUAUAAAUGUAUUGUAUAGGUGAAU
rnacentral:lncRNA from 1 species